UACGGGGGGGGCAAGCGUUGUUCGGAAUUACUGGGCGUAAAGGGCUCGUAGGUGGCCAACUAAGUCAGACGUGAAAUCCCUCAGCUUAACUGGGGAACUGCGUCUGAUACUGGAUGGCUUGAGUUUGGGAGAGGGACGCGGAAUUCCAGGUGUAGCGGUGAAAUGCGUAGAUAUCUGGAGGAACACCGGUGGCGAAGGCGGCGUCCUGGACCAACACUGACACUGAGGAGCGAAAGCCAGGGGAGCAAACGGG
rnacentral:rRNA from 1 species